rnacentral:rRNA from 1 species
GAUGAACGCUGGCGGCGUGCCUAAUACAUGCAAGUCGAGCGAACAGACGAGGAGCUUGCUCCUCUGACGUUAGCGGCGGACGGGUGAGUAACACGUGGAUAACCUACCUAUAAGACUGGGAUAACUUCGGGAAACCGGAGCUAAUACCGGAUAAUAUAUUGAACCGCAUGGUUCAAUAGAGAAAGACGGUUUUGCUGUCACUUAUAGAUGGAUCCGCGCCGCAUUAGCUAGUUGGUAAGGUAACGGCUUACCAAGGCGACGAUGCGUAGCCGACCUGAGAGGGUGAUCGGCCACACUAGAACUGAGACACGGUCCAGACUCCUACGGGAGGCAGCAGUAGGGAAUCCUCCGCAAUGGGCGAAAGCCUGACGGAGCAACGCCGCGUGAGUGAUGAAGGUCUUCGGAUCGUAAAACUCUGUUAUUAGGGAAGAACAAAUGUGUAAGUAACUAUGCACGUCUUGACGGUACCUAAUCAGAAAGCCACGGCUAACUACGUG